UAAGUCUUUUAAGUAAGGAUAGAUGACAGAGU
rnacentral:piRNA from 1 species